AUUGAACGCUGGCGGCAGGCCUAACACGUGCAAGUCGAGCGGAUGAAGGGAGCUUGCUCCUGGAUUCAGCGGCGGACGGGUGAGUAAUGCCUAGGAAUCUGCCUGGUAGUGGGGGAUAACGUCCGGAAACGGGCGCUAAUACCGCAUACGUCCUGAGGGAGAAAGUGGGGGAUCUUCGGACCUCACGCUAUCAGAUGAGCCUAGGUCGGAUUAGCUAGUUGGUGGGGUAAAGGCCUACCAAGGCGACGAUCCGUAACUGGUCUGAGAGGAUGAUCAGUCACACCGGAACUGAGACACGGUCCAGACUCCUACGGGAGGCAGCAGUGGGGAAUAUUGGACGAUGGGCGAAAGCCUGAUCCAGCCAUGCCGCGUGUGUGAAGAAGGUCUUCGGAUUGUAAAGCACUUUAAGUUGGGAGGAAGGGCAGUAAGUUAAUACCUUGCUGUUUUGACGUUACCAACAGAAUAAGCACCGGCUAACUUCGUG
rnacentral:rRNA from 1 species